GAUGAACGCUGGCGGCGUGCCUAAUACAUGCAAGUCGAGCGAACAGACGAGGAGCUCGCUCCUUUGACGUUAGCGGCGGACGGGUGAGUAACACGUAGGUAACCUACCUAUAAGACUGGGAUAACUUCGGGAAACCGGAGCUAAUACCGGAUAAUAUUUCGAACCGCAUGGUUCGAUAGUGAAAGAUGGCUUUGCUAUCACUUAUAGAUGGACCUGCGCCGUAUUAGCUAGUUGGUAAGGUAACGGCUUACCAAGGCAACGAUACGUAGCCGACCUGAGAGGGUGAUCGGCCACACUGGAACUGAGACACGGUCCAGACUCCUACGGGAGGCAGCAGUAGGGAAUCUUCCGCAAAGGGCGAAAGCCUGACGGAGCAACGCCGCGUGAGUGAUGAAGGUCUUCGGAUCGUAAAACUCUGUUAUUAGGGAAGAACAAACGUGUAAGUAACUGUGCACGUCUUGACGGUACCUAAUCAGAAAGCCACGGCUAACUACGUG
rnacentral:rRNA from 1 species